GUGCAAAGAGUGGAAACCGUAUGUUCCCAGCGGGUGGCAAUAUGAACACAUGAAUAUGGCCUAAACAUUUGUUUUGUUUACUGGAUAGUAAAGAGGUACAGAGGAAAGAUGGAGGAGAGGGUGCUGAAAUAGCAGUGGGACAGAUUGGAGGAGAGGGUGCUGAAAUAGCAGUGGGACAGAUUGGAGGAGAGGGUGCUGAAAUAGCAGUGGGACAGAUUGGAGGAGAGGGUGCUGAAAUGGCAGUGGGACAGAUUGGAGCAGAGGGUGCUGAAAUAGCAGUGGGACAGAUUGGAGGAGAGGGUGCUGAAAUAGCAGUGGGACGGAUUGGAGGAGAGGUAGCUGAAAUAGCAGUGGG
ensembl:lncRNA